rnacentral:rRNA from 1 species
CCCUUAGAUGUUCUGGGCAGCACGCGCGCUACAAUGGUCUUCGCAAACGGAUGCAUUCUCGAAGGAGAAUGCCAAUCUUGGAAUCUAUGCCUUGGUCGGUACAGUUGCUUGCAAUUUUUCGACUCGAACCAGGAAUUCCUUGUAAUCGUGAUUCAUCACAUCACGAUGAAUACGUCCCUGCCCUUUGUACACACCGCCCGUCGCUCCUACCGAUCGAAGAGUUAGGUGAAUUGUUUUGAUCGAUAAGAUUUGACUAUGGUCAACUCUCGUUGGGAAAUUCUGUGAAUCUGACUGUUUAGAGGAAGGAAAAGUCGUAACA